rnacentral:rRNA from 1 species
CAUGCAAGUCGAACGGGAAAGAUCCUUCGGGAAUUGAGUACAGUGGCGGACGGGUGAGUAACACGUGAUCAACGUACCCUAAGGACUGGGAUAGCCAUCCGAAAGGAUGUGUAAUACCAGAUAAGACCACAGUACCGCAUGGUACAGUGGUAGUUUAUUCUACUUAGGGAGCGGAUCGCGGACUAUCAGUUUGUUGGUGGGGUAAUGGCCUACCAAGGCGAUGACGGUUAGCCGGCCUGAGAGGGUGAACGGCCACACUGGAACUGAGACACGGUCCAGACUCCUACGGGAGGCAGCAGUGCUGAAUCAUUCACAAUGGACGCAAGUCUGAUGAUGCGACGCCGCGUGGAGGAUGAAGGCCUUCGGGUUGUAAACUCCUGUCAGGGAUUAGGAAUUUUGACCAAUCCCAGAGGAAGCUCCGGCUAAAUUCGUGCCAGCAGCCGCGGUAAUACGAAUGGAGCGAGCGUUGUUCGGAAUCACUGGGCAUAAAGGGUGCGUAGGCUGUUUGGUAAGUCAGUUGUGAAAGCCCUCGGCUCAACCGGGGAAUUGCAAUUGAUACUGCCAGACUUGAGGCUGUGAGGGGUGAACGGAAUUCCAGGUGUAGCGGUGAAAUGCGUAGAUAUCUGGGAGAACGCCGGAGGCGAAGGCGGUUCACUGGCGCAGUCCUGACGCUGAGGCACGAAAGCGUGGGGAGCAAACAGGAUUAGAUACCCUGGUAGUCCAUGCUGUAAACGAUGGAUACUUUGUGGGGAGGAGUCGAUCUUCUCUCUGCCGACGCAAAUGCAUUAAGUGCCCCGCCUGGGGAGUAUGAUCGCAAGGUUAAAACUCAAAGGAAUUGACGGGGGCUCCGCACAAGCGGUGGAGCAUGUGGUUUAAUUCGACGCAACGCGAAGAACCUUACCUGGGCUUGAACUGCUGGGUUUAGCUUCCUGAAAGGGAAGUGAACCUGCUUGCAGGAGACCAGCAGAGGUGCUGCACGGCUGUCGUCAGCUCGUGUCGUGAGAUGUUGGGUUAAGUCCCGCAACGAGCGCAACCCUUGCCUUUAGUUGCCAGCGAGUCAUGUCGGGUACUCUAAGGGGACUGCCACGGAUAACGUGGAGGAAGGUGGGGAUGACGUCAAGUCAGCAUGGCCUUUAUGUCCAGGGCGACACACGUGCUACAAUGGGCGGCACAAAGGGACGCGAAACCGCAAGGUAGAGCUAAUCUUCAAAGCUGCUCUCAGUUCGGAUCGCAGGCUGCAAUUCGCCUGCGUGAAGUUGGAAUCGCUAGUAAUCGCGGAUCAGCCUCGCCGCGGUGAUACGUUCUCGGGCCUUGUACACACCGCCCGUCACAUCACGAAAGUUGGUUAUACCCGAAGUCGCCGGGCUAACCUUUGGAGGCAGGCGCCGAAGGUAUGAUCGAUGAUUGGGGUGAAGUC